rnacentral:rRNA from 1 species
CUACGGGGGGCUCCAGUGAGGAAUAUUGCACAAUGGGGGGAACCCUGAUGCAGCAACGCCGCGUGGAGGAUGACGCAUUUCGGUGUGUAAACUCCUUUUAUAUGUCAAGAAAAUGACGGUAGCAUAUGAAUAAGCACCGGCUAACUCCGUGCCAGCAGCCGCGGUAAUACGGAGGGUGCAAGCGUUACUCGGAAUCACUGGGCGUAAAGGACGCGUAGGCGGGUUGGAAAGUCAGGUGUGAAAUCCUACAGCUUAACUGUAGAACUGCACUUGAAACUUCUAAUCUAGAGUAUGGGAGGGGGAGAUGGAAUUGCUGGUGUAGGGGUAAAAUCCGUAGAUAUCACUAGGAAUACCUAAAGCGAAGGCGAUCUCCUGGAACAAUACUGACGCUAAGGCGUGAAAGCGUGGGGAGCAAACAGGAUUAGAUACCCCCGUAGUC